UAACAGACUUGAAGCAUAAGGAAAACCUGCUUAUCUCUGUCUCCCACGGGGUCAGCCCAAGGAAAACAGCUCCUUCCACACUCUUCACUACCUUCAAACAUAAGGCCUGGUGAGCAUUUCUCUAUCCAUUGGUGCCAUUCUUGGUCUCAGAGAACAUCACAGAAGAAGGGAUGGAAUGAUCAUAAGAGCCAGAGGAUCAGGGGAUUUCAUUGUGAAGCUGUGUCUUUUAGUAACAUCAGAAGCUACACCCAUCAAGUCUCACUAAUGUAACUGCACAUUGGAUUUUAUAUUUUCACUGUUGAAUAUAAUUUCUAUGUAAUCUGCCACCAUCAAAACAAAAAAAAAUCUGUGAGUUAGAGCUGGAGAAAAAA
rnacentral:lncRNA from 1 species